rnacentral:rRNA from 1 species
UACGUAGGGUGCAAGCGUUGUCCGGAAUUAUUGGGCGUAAAGCGCGCGCAGGCGGCCUCUUAAGUCUGAUGUGAAAGCCCCCGGCUCAACCGGGGAGGGCCAUUGGAAACUGGGAGGCUUGAGUAUAGGAGAGAAGAGUGGAAUUCCACGUGUAGCGGUGAAAUGCGUAGAGAUGUGGAGGAACACCAGUGGCGAAGGCGACUCUUUGGCCUAUAACUGACGCUGAGGCGCGAAAGCGUGGGGAGCAAACAGG